GGACCCGCACAAGCGGUGGAGUAUGUGGCUUAAUUCGAUGCAACGCGAAGAACCUUACCUAGGCUUGACAUGCAUCUCUAAGCGCGUGAAAGCGCGUGACCCUUCGGGGGAUUUGCACAGGUGCUGCAUGGCCGUCGUCAGCUCGUGUCGUGAGAUGUUGGGUUAAGUCCCGCAACGAGCGCAACCCUUGUGAUUAGUUGCCAGCACGUUAAGGUGGGAACUCUAAUCAGACUGCCCAGAUCAACUGGGAGGAAGGUGGGGACGACGUCAGGUCAGUAUGGCCCUUACGCCUAGGGCUGCACACGUACUACAAUGCCCAGUACAAUGAGAACCGAGACCGCGAGGUGGAGGAAAUCUAAAAAACUGGGCCCAGUUCGGAUUGGAGGCUGCAACUCGCCUCCAUGAAGUUGGAAUCGCUAGUAAUGGCACAUCAGCUACGGUGCCGUGAAUACGUUCCCGGGUCUUGUACACACCGCCCGUCACAUCAUGGAAG
rnacentral:rRNA from 1 species